UACGAAGGGGGCUAGCGUUGGUCGGAAUUACUGGGCGUAAAGGGCGCGUAGGCUGUGCUGUAAGUCAGGCGUGAAAGCCCCGGGCUCAACCUGGGAAUUGCGCUUGAUACUGCGGCGCUGGAAGGUGGGAGAGGAUGGCGGAAUUCCCAGUGUAGAGGUGAAAUUCGUAGAUAUUGGGAGGAACACCAGUGGCGAAGGCGAUCAUCUGGGGUUGUUCUGACGCUGAGGAGCGAAAGCUAGGGGAGCAAACGGG
rnacentral:rRNA from 1 species